rnacentral:misc_RNA from 1 species
GGGAAAGCUUAUUGCUCUGUAUGACGACAACCACAUUUCAAUUGAUGGAGAUACAGAGAUUGCAUUCACUGAGAGUGUUGACACUCGUUUCGAGGCGCUUGGAUGGCACGUUAUCUGGGUUAAGAAUGGAAACACUGGCUAUGAUGAAAUCCGUGCCGCAAUUCAAGAAGCUAAAGCUGUUAAAGACAAGCCUACAUUGAUCAAGGUGACAACAACCAUUGGUUUU